rnacentral:sRNA from 1 species
GCCUGGUUCGGAACUGCGCGAUGAAGUUCCUCGUGUGCAAGCACUGCGUCGAGGCCAACCCCAGGGCGCACGACGCACUGGUCAGCGAGAGCCUCAGCAUCGACCUCGU